CUACGGGAGGCAGCAGUGGGGAAUAUUGCACAAUGGGCGCAAGCCUGAUGCAGCGACGCCGCGUGAGGGAUGACGGCCUUCGGGUUGUAAACCUCUUUCACCAGGGACGAAGCGCAAGUGACGGUACCUGGAGAAGAAGCACCGGCCAACUACGUGCCAGCAGCCGCGGUAAUACGUAGGUGGCGAACGUUAUCCGGAAUCACUGGGCGUAAAGGGUCCGCAGGUGGCAUGACAAGUCGAUUGUGAAAGCUCCCGGCUCAACUGGGAGAGGACGGUCGAAACUGGCAAACUAGAGUCCGACAGAGGGCGGCGGAAUUCCCGGUGUAGUGGUGGAAUGCGUAGAUAUCGGGAGGAACGCCAAAAGCGAAAGCAGCCGGCUGGGUCGAGACUGACACUGAGGGACGAAAGCGUGGGUAGCGAACAGGAUUAGAAACCCUUGUAGUCC
rnacentral:rRNA from 1 species